rnacentral:rRNA from 1 species
UACGUAGGGUGCGAGCGUUGUCCGGAAUUAUUGGGCGUAAAGAGCUUGUAGGUGGUUUGUCGCGUCUGCUGUGAAAAUCCGAGGCUCAACCUCGGACUUGCAGUGGGUACGGGCAGACUAGAGUGUGGUAGGGGAGACUGGGAAUUCCUGGGUGUAGCGGUGGAAUGCGCAGAGUAUCAGGAGGAACACCGAUGGCGAAGGCAGGGAUCUCCUGGGCCAUUACUGACACUGAGAAGCGAAAGCA